rnacentral:rRNA from 1 species
AGAGUUUGAUCAUGGCUCAGGACGAACGCUGGCGGCGUGCUUAACACAUGCAAGUCAAGGGGAAAGUUCUCUUCGGAGGAUGAGUAUACUGGCGCACGGGUGAGUAAUACAUAAGUAAUCUACCUAUGGGAUUGGAAUAACCUCGAGAAAUCGGGGCUAAUGCCAAAUAAUGCAGCGAUACCGCAUGGUGUUGCUGUUAAAGUAAUUUAUUACACCUAUAGAUGAGCUUGUCUCCGAUUAGUUUGUUGGUAAGGUAAUGGCUUACCAAGACUACGAUCGGUAGCUGGUCUGAGAGGAUGAUCAGCCACACUGGAACUGAGACACGGUCCAGACUCCUACGGGAGGCAGCAGUGAGGAAUAUUGGGCAAUGGGCGAAAGCCUGACCCAGCAACGCCGCGUGGAGGAUGAAGGUCGUAAGAUCGUAAACUCCUUUUUUUGGGGAAGAAAAAGUAGGUUUGUAGCCUAUAUUGACUGUACCCAUAGAAUAAGCCCCGGCUAACUACGUGCCAGCAGCCGCGGUAAUACGUAGGGGGCAAGCGUUGUCCGGAUUUACUGGGUGUAAAGGGAGCGCAGGCGGACCUGUCAGUCAGGGGUGAAAUCCUACAGCUUAACUGUAGAACUGCCUUUGAUACUGCAGGUCUUGAGAUCGGAAGAGAGAGAUGGAAUUCCAGGUGUAGUGGUGAAAUACGUAGAUAUCUGGAAGAACACCGAUGGCGAAGGCAGUCUCUUGGUCCGCAUCUGACGCUGAGGCUCGAAAGCGUGGGGAGCAAACAGGAUUAGAUACCCUGGUAGUCCACGCCCUAAACGAUGAAUGUUAGUCGUCGGGUAGCUAGUCUAUUCGGUGAUGCAGCUAACGCAUUAAACAUUCCGCCUGGGGAGUACGGUCGCAAGAUUAAAACUCAAAGGAAUAGACGGGGACCCGCACAAGUGGUGGAGCAUGUGGUUUAAUUCGAAGAUACGCGAAGAACCUUACCUAGCCUUGACAUAUAUUAGAACACCCUAGAGAUAGAGUGGUGCCUUCGGGAGCUUUUAUACAGGUGCUGCACGGCUGUCGUCAGCUCGUGUCGUGAGAUGUUGGGUUAAGUCCCGCAACGAGCGCAACCCUCGUCACUAGUUACUAACGGUUCGGCCGAGGACUCUAGUGAGACUGCCUUCGUAAGGAGGAGGAAGGUGAGGACGACGUCAAGUCAUCAUGGCCCUUACGGCUAGGGCAACACACGUGCUACAAUGGCCAGGACAAUGAGAAGCGAUGCCGCGAGGUGGAGCAAAUCUAUAAACCUGGUCUCAGUUCGGAUUGUAGUCUGCAACUCGACUACAUGAAGCUGGAAUCACUAGUAAUCGUAGAUCAGCUAUGCUACGGUGAAUACGUCCCCGGGUCUUGUACUCACCGCCCGUCACACCAUGGGAGUUGAUUUCACCCGAAGCGGGGAAGCUAAACUGGCUACCCUCCACGGUGGAAUCAGCGACUGGGGUGAAGUCGUAACAAGGUA